CCCAUGCUCUAGGGGACCGUAAAACAUCAGAAACAAAAAUCACGGGAGCGGUUCCUUCCUGAUUUUCCCAUGGAAUGCAUGCAAGGGGGCGUCCGUGAUUUUUACUGUGACUAAGAAAGUGUGACCAAAGCAGUCAUUCGACUUGAAGUAGAAAGCAUGGGAAAAACAAAGGAGCAGCCUAUGGGCCACCGUUUCGGCUUUUGUUGGGUUUAAAAGUCCAUUGGAGAUUAUGGCGUCGUGCGACAAGCGUCUGGGUGAUUUCCCAUUUGGGGGUCCCGGCGGCCUUUGGGGGAAAACCGUG
rnacentral:rRNA from 1 species